AUUGAACGCUGGCGGCAUGCCUUACACAUGCAAGUCGAACGGCAGCAUGAUCUAGCUUGCUAGAUUGAUGGCGAGUGGCGAACGGGUGAGUAAUACAUCGGAACGUGCCCUGUAGUGGGGGAUAACUAGUCGAAAGAUUAGCUAAUACCGCAUACGACCUGAGGGUGAAAGUGGGGGACCGCAAGGCCUCAUGCUAUAGGAGCGGCCGAUGUCUGAUUAGCUAGUUGGUGGGGUAAAGGCCCACCAAGGCGACGAUCAGUAGCUGGUCUGAGAGGACGAUCAGCCACACUGGGACUGAGACACGGCCCAGACUCCUACGGGAGGCAGCAGUGGGGAAUUUUGGACAAUGGGGGCAACCCUGAUCCAGCAAUGCCGCGUGUGUGUAGAAGGCCUUCGGGUUGUAAAGCACUUUUGUCCGGAAAGAAAUCGCACUUACUAAUAUUAGGUGUGGAUGACGGUACCGGAAGAAUAAGGACCGGCUAACUACGUG
rnacentral:rRNA from 1 species